AUACGGAGGGUGCAAGCGUUACUCGGAAUCACUGGGCGUAAAGCGCGCGCAGGCGGCUAUUUAAGUUGGAUGUGAAAGCCUACGGCUCAACCGUAGAACUGCAUCCAAAACUAUUUAGCUAGAGUGUGGGAGAGGAAGAUGGAAUUAGUUGUGUAGGGGUAAAAUCCGUAGAGAUAACUAGGAAUACCAAAAGCGAAGGCAAUCUUCUGGAACACUCCUGACGCUGAGGCGCGAAAGCGUGGGGAGCAAACGGGAUUAGAUACCCUAGUAGUCC
rnacentral:rRNA from 1 species